rnacentral:tRNA from 1 species
AGGCCCAUAGUUCAAUUGGUAGAGCACCGGUCUCCAAAACCGGGUGUUGCAGGUUCGAGCCCUGCUGGGCCUG